CAGGCUGGUGGUGGUGGGGAAGAUGUGGUUGGAGUGGAGGUGGAGGAGGAAGUUGGCACCCUGGAAAAGAUUGAGUGGAGAGGAUAUUUUGACCUCAGUGCCAGACCAGACACUCUCCAAACACCAUGGUCUCAGGGAGAAUCAAAGGUAACUAAAAAUCUUAACUGAAGUCAAGACGGAUGACUUCCAGGAUGAAGUUGAUCAACCAUUGUCGAAUUUUACUACUGUAGAAUUAAAUGCAAUUAGGUGAGGAGCAAAUUGAACCCAGUAAUCCAAACAACAGAUUCUGUAGCUAAAUAUGUAAAUUUGUAGCUAAAGAGGUGUCAUUCAUAAAAACUAAUAGGAAAAAUUAAAACAAUUCCAGUUGAUUUUUUACAUCUAUGAUGGUGCCCUAUCUGCUUUGAUUUACAAAUGCUCAUUUAGAAAAUUUUAGUUACAUUAGUGGUGAAUGUUUUUAAAUUACUCAACUAUUGAAACCUUGAGGUACUUAACUUGCAAAUGUACAAUAAAGGACAUUUGAACUAA